rnacentral:rRNA from 1 species
AAUCAACGCUGGCGGCGUGCCUCAGACAUGCAAGUCGAACGAUUAAAGCUCCCUUCGGGGAGUGCAUAGAGUGGCGCACGGGUGAGUAACACGUAAGUAAUCUACCUUUGAGUGGGGAAUAACACCGAGAAAUCGGUGCUAAUACCGCAUAAUGCAGCGGCAUCGCAAGAUGACAGUUGUUAAAGAUUUAUCGCUUGAAGAGGAGCUUGCGGCAGAUUAGCUAGUUGGUAAGGUAAUGGCUUACCAAGGCUACGAUCUGUAACCGGUCUAAGAGGACGGUCGGUCACACUGACACUGAAUAACGGGUCAGACUCCUACGGGAGGCAGCAGUCGGGAAUUUUGGGCAAUGGGCGAAAGCCUGACCCAAGCAACGCCGC